GUCCCUCUGAUAAGCAAGUUUAUAGCUCCAAGAGGCAGCAGUGGCUUUAGGAAAAACUGAGCAUGAAAGUGGGUUCUCCUGUGGGUGGAGAAGGACACCGCCCUGAUCAGUUCUGGCUGUCUUCUUCUGCAAGCAAUAAUGCACAUUCUUCCUGGGCCUCUGAAUCAGAGCCUUUUACUGCCUGGAGUUAUGUGUUCAUGCACUGUAAUUGAAUCCGCUGUCUAAGAGGAUGGUUCUCCAGGUACCUUCCUAUCAGCACCUUCUCCAGCUCUUUUUGAAGCCAUGGACACCAGGACAUGGAUGCUGUCUCUUAGUUCCAGACCUGUCAGCUUACAGCAGACUCCAGGGAACUCCAGUGUGUUGACACAACUUGCAAAGGAUGACACGGAGUUGCCCAUUGUGACUUUGCACUGGGGACAGGGGAAUGAAAUGGAGCAAGUCUUACCCUCAAGGGCCUGGAGAGCAAAGACACUUGAGAGGCACCUGAGUGCUAUUGGUGGUAUGAAGGGCAAGAGGACAUGGGAACUCUGGUACUUGUCCCCCAAAGGGCUUUAUAGCAUGCCAAUUCCCAUGAAGGAGGACAGCUUCUGGUACAGGUUGAUGAGUAAUAUUUUUCCUACUGCUGCUGAAGCCGCUGGAAAAAUCUGGUUGAUCCAGGAUGUCACGUCAGAACCUAAUUCCCAUUUCUACUAACACCCCCACACUUGUGUUCAGUGCUUAAUAAAAGGGCCUGGCAGCCCGGUGAGAUAAUAGAAGAUAAAGCAAAUUGUACGACAAUGGAAAAUGCUGAGCUCCCCAAGUAAUUAAAGGUUGUGUAAGACAGU